rnacentral:rRNA from 1 species
CACACUAUCAUUAACUGAAUCCAUAGGUUAAUGAGGCGAACCGGGGGAACUGAAACAUCUAAGUACCCCGAGGAAAAGAAAUCAACCGAGAUUCCCCCAGUAGCGGCGAGCGAACGGGGAGGAGCCCAGAGCCUGAAUCAGUGUGUGUGUUAGUGGAAGCGUCUGGAAAGGCGCGCGAUACAGGGUGACAGCCCCGUACACAAAAAUGCACAUAUUGUGAGCUCGAUGAGUAGGGCGGGACACGUGGUAUCCUGUCUGAAUAUGGGGGGACCAUCCUCCAAGGCUAAAUACUCCUGACUGACCGAUAGUGAACCAGUACCGUGAGGGAAAGGCGAAAAGAACCCCGGCGAGGGGAGUGAAAAAGAACCUGAAACCGUGUACGUACAAGCAGUGGGAGCACGCUUAGGCGUGUGACUGCGUACCUUUUGUAUAAUGGGUCAGCGACUUAUAUUCUGUAGCAAGGUUAACCGAAUAGGGGAGCCGAAGGGAAACCGAGUCUUAACUGGGCGUUAAGUUGCAGGGUAUAGACCCGAAACCCGGUGAUCUAGCCAUGGGCAGGUUGAAGGUUGGGUAACACUAACUGGAGGACCGAACCGACUAAUGUUGAAAAAUUAGCGGAUGACUUGUGGCUGGGGGUGAAAGGCCAAUCAAACCGGGAGAUAGCUGGUUCUCCCCGAAAGCUAUUUAGGUAGCGCCUCGUGAAUUCAUCUCCGGGGGUAGAGCACUGUUUCGGCAAGGGGGUCAUCCCGACUUACCAACCCGAUGCAAACUGCGAAUACCGGAGAAUGUUAUCACGGGAGACACACGGCGGGUGCUAACGUCCGUCGUGAAGAGGGAAACAACCCAGACCGCCAGCUAAGGUCCCAAAGUCAUGGUUAAGUGGGAAACGAUGUGGGAAGGCCCAGACAGCCAGGAUGUUGGCUUAGAAGCAGCCAUCAUUUAAAGAAAGCGUAAUAGCUCACUGGUCGAGUCGGCCUGCGCGGAAGAUGUAACGGGGCUAAACCAUGCACCGAAGCUGCGGCAGCGACGCUUAUGCGUUGUUGGGUAGGGGAGCGUUCUGUAAGCCUGUGAAGGUGUGCUGUGAGGCAUGCUGGAGGUAUCAGAAGUGCGAAUGCUGACAUAAGUAACGAUAAAGCGGGUGAAAAGCCCGCUCGCCGGAAGACCAAGGGUUCCUGUCCAACGUUAAUCGGGGCAGGGUGAGUCGACCCCUAAGGCGAGGCCGAAAGGCGUAGUCGAUGGGAAACAGGUUAAUAUUCCUGUACUUGGUGUUACUGCGAAGGGGGGACGGAGAAGGCUAUGUUGGCCGGGCGACGGUUGUCCCGGUUUAAGCGUGUAGGCUGGUUUUCCAGGCAAAUCCGGAAAAUCAAGGCUGAGGCGUGAUGACGAGGCACUACGGUGCUGAAGCAACAAAUGCCCUGCUUCCAGGAAAAGCCUCUAAGCAUCAGGUAACAUCAAAUCGUACCCCAAACCGACACAGGUGGUCAGGUAGAGAAUACCAAGGCGCUUGAGAGAACUCGGGUGAAGGAACUAGGCAAAAUGGUGCCGUAACUUCGGGAGAAGGCACGCUGAUAUGUAGGUGAGGUCCCUCGCGGAUGGAGCUGAAAUCAGUCGAAGAUACCAGCUGGCUGCAACUGUUUAUUAAAAACACAGCACUGUGCAAACACGAAAGUGGACGUAUACGGUGUGACGCCUGCCCGGUGCCGGAAGGUUAAUUGAUGGGGUUAGCGCAAGCGAAGCUCUUGAUCGAAGCCCCGGUAAACGGCGGCCGUAACUAUAACGGUCCUAAGGUAGCGAAAUUCCUUGUCGGGUAAGUUCCGACCUGCACGAAUGGCGUAAUGAUGGCCAGGCUGUCUCCACCCGAGACUCAGUGAAAUUGAACUCGCUGUGAAGAUGCAGUGUACCCGCGGCAAGACGGAAAGACCCCGUGAACCUUUACUAUAGCUUGACACUGAACAUUGAGCCUUGAUGUGUAGGAUAGGUGGGAGGCUUGGAAGUGUGGACGCCAGUCUGCAUGGAGCCGACCUUGAAAUACCACCCUUUAAUGUUUGAUGUUCUAACGUUGACCCGUAAUCCGGGUUGCGGACAGUGUCUGGUGGGUAGUUUGACUGGGGCGGUCUCCUCCUAAAGAGUAACGGAGGAGCACGAAGGUUGGCUAAUCCUGGUCGGACAUCAGGAGGUUAGUGCAAUGGCAUAAGCCAGCUUGACUGCGAGCGUGACGGCGCGAGCAGGUGCGAAAGCAGGUCAUAGUGAUCCGGUGGUUCUGAAUGGAAGGGCCAUCGCUCAACGGAUAAAAGGUACUCCGGGGAUAACAGGCUGAUACCGCCCAAGAGUUCAUAUCGACGGCGGUGUUUGGCACCUCGAUGUCGGCUCAUCACAUCCUGGGGCUGAAGUAGGUCCCAAGGGUAUGGCUGUUCGCCAUUUAAAGUGGUACGCGAGCUGGGUUUAGAACGUCGUGAGACAGUUCGGUCCCUAUCUGCCGUGGGCGCUGGAGAACUGAGGGGGGCUGCUCCUAGUACGAGAGGACCGGAGUGGACGCAUCACUGGUGUUCGGGUUGUCAUGCCAAUGGCACUGCCCGGUAGCUAAAUGCGGAAGAGAUAAGUGCUGAAAGCAUCUAAGCACGAAACUUGCCCCGAGAUGAGUUCUCCCUGACCCUUUAAGGGUCCUGAAGGAACGUUGAAGACGACGACGUUGAUAGGCCGGGUGUGUAAGCGCAGCGAUGCGUUGAGCUAACCGGUACUAAUGAACCGUGAGGCUUAACCUU